CCUACGGGAGGCAGCAGUGGGGGAUAUUGCACAAUGGGGGGAACCCUGAUGCAGCGACGCCGCGUGGGUGAAGAAGCGCCUCGGCGCGUAAAGCCCUGUCAGCAGGGAAGAAAAUGACGGUACCUGAUGAAGAAGCCCCUGCUAACUACGUGCCAGCAGCCGCGGUAAGACGUAGGGGGCAAGCGUUAUCCGGAUUUACUGGGUGUAAAGUGGGCGCAGACGGCGAUGCAAGCCAGGAGUGAAAGCCCGGGGCCCAACCCCGGGACUGCUCUUGGCACUGCGUGGCUGGAGUGCAGGAGGGGCAGGCGGAAUUCCUGGUGUAGGGGUGAAAUGCGUAGAGAUCAGGAGGAACACCGGUGGCGAAGGCGGCCUGCUGGACUGCAACUGACGUUGAGGCCCGAAAGCGUGGGGAGCAAACAGGAUUAGAUACCCUUGUAGUC
rnacentral:rRNA from 1 species